rnacentral:rRNA from 1 species
UACGGAGGGAGCUAGCGUUGUUCGGAAUUACUGGGCGUAAAGCGCACGUAGGCGGCUAUUCAAGUCGGGGGUGAAAGCCCGGGGCUCAACCCCGGAACUGCCCUCGAAACUAGGUAGCUAGAAUCUUGGAGAGGCGAGUGGAAUUCCGAGUGUAGAGGUGAAAUUCGUAGAUAUUCGGAAGAACACCAGUGGCGAAGGCGACUUACUGGACACAUAUUGACGCUGAGGUGCGAAAGCGUGGGGAGCAAACAGG